rnacentral:rRNA from 1 species
GUGGGGAAUAUUGGACAAUGGGGGGAACCCUGAUCCAGCCAUGCCGCGUGUGUGAAGAAGGCCUUUUGGUUGUAAAGCACUUUAAGCGAGGAGGAGGCUACCGAGAUUAAUACUCUUGGAUAGUGGACGUUACUCGCAGAAUAAGCACCGGCUAACUCUGUGCCAGCAGCCGCGGUAAUACAGAGGGUGCAAGCGUUAAUCGGAUUUACUGGGCGUAAAGCGCGCGUAGGUGGCCAAUUAAGUCAAAUGUGAAAUCCCCGGGCUUAACUUGGGAAUUGCAUUCGAUACUGGUUGGCUAGAGUAUGGGAGAGGAUGGUAGAAUUCCAGGUGUAGCGGUGAAAUGCGUAGAGAUCUGGAGGAAUACCGAUGGCGAAGGCAGCCAUCUGGCCUAAUACUGACACUGAGGUGCGAAAGCAUGGGGAGCAAACAGGAUUAGAAACCCGAGUAGUCC